GGCCUUCGGGUGCCGACGAGUGGCGAACGGGUGAGUAAUAUAUCGGAACGUACCUUUCAGUGGGGGAUAACGUAGCGAAAGUUACGCUAAUACCGCAUAUUCUGUGAGCAGGAAAGCAGGGGACCUUCGGGCCUUGCGCUGAUUGAGCGGCCGAUAUCAGAUUAGCUAGUUGGUGAGGUAAAGGCUCACCAAGGCGACGAUCUGUAGCGGGUCUGAGAGGAUGAUCCGCCACACUGGAACUGAGACACGGUCCAGACUCCUACGGGAGGCAGCAGUGGGAAUUUUGGACAAUGGGGGAAACCCUGAUCCAGCCAUGCCGCGUGAGUGAAGAAGGCCUUCGGGUUGUAAAGCUCUUUCGGCCGGGAAGAAAUCGUAUGGGCUAAUACCCUGUGCGGAUGACGGUACCGGCAUAAGAAGCACCGGCUAACUACGUGCCAGCAGCCGCGGUAAUACGUAGGGUGCGAGCGUUAAUCGGAAUUACUGGGCGUAAAGCGUGCGCAGGCGGUUUUGUAAGACAGGCGUGAAAUCCCCGGGCUCAACCUGGGAACUGCGUUUGUGACUGCAAAGCUAGAGUACGGCAGAGGGGGGUGGAAUUCCACGUGUAGCAGUGAAAUGCGUAGAGAUGUGGAGGAACACCAAUGGCGAAGGCAGCCCCCUGGGUCGAUACUGACGCUCAUGCACGAAAGCGUGGGUAGCAAACAGGAUUAGAUACCCUGGUAGUCCACGCCCUAAACGAUGUCAACUAGGUGUUGGGUGGGUAAAACCAUUUAGUACCGGAGCUAACGCGUGAAGUUGACCGCCUGGGGAGUACGGCCGCAAGGUUAAAACUCAAAGGAAUUGACGGGGACCCGCACAAGCGGUGGAUGAUGUGGAUUAAUUCGAUGCAACGCGAAAAACCUUACCUACCCUUGACAUGUCCAGAAGCCCGAAGAGAUUUGGGUGUGCCCGAAAGGGAGCUGGAACACAGGUGCUGCAUGGCUGUCGUCAGCUCGUGUCGUGAGAUGUUGGGUUAAGUCCCGCAACGAGCGCAACCCUUGUCGUUAAUUGCCAUCAUUUAGUUGGGCACUUUAACGAGACUGCCGGUGACAAACCGGAGGAAGGUGGGGAUGACGUCAAGUCCUCAUGGCCCUUAUGGGUAGGGCUUCACACGUCAUACAAUGGUCGGUACAAAGGGUUGCCAAGCCGCGAGGUGGAGCUAAUCCCAGAAAGCCGAUCGUAGUCCGGAUCGUAGGCUGCAACUCGCCUGCGUGAAGUCGGAAUCGCUAGUAAUCGUGGAUCAGCAUGUCACGGUGAAUACGUUCCCGGGUCUUGUACACACCGCCCGUCACACCAUGGGAGCGGGUUCCGCCAGAAGUAGGUAGCCUAACCGCAAGGGGGGCGCUUACCACGGCGGGGUUCGUGACUGGGGUGAAGUCGUAACAAGGUA
rnacentral:rRNA from 1 species